rnacentral:rRNA from 1 species
CCUACGGGGGGCUGCAGUCGAGAAUCUUCCUCAAUGGGCGAAAGCCUGAAGGAGCGACGCCGCGUGUAUGAAGAAGCCCUUCGGGGUGUAAAAUACUUUUAUCUGGGACGAAAUCAUGACGGUACCAGAUGAAUAAGGGGCUGCUAACCUCGUGCCAGCAGCAGCGGUAAUACGAGGGCCCCAAGCGUUAUCCGGAUUUAUUGGGCGUAAAGCGUCCGUAGGUGGUUUAUCGCAUCUCCUGUUAAAUCUCGAGGCCCAACCUCGAGUCAGCGGGAGAGAUGGAUAAGCUAGAGACUGGAAGAGGCAAACGGAAUUGCUGGUGUAGGGGUUAAAUCCAUUAAUAUCAGCAAGAACACCAAAUGCGAAGGCAGUUUGCUAGGACAGUUCUGACACUCAGUGGACGAAAGCGUGGGGAGCGAAUGGGAUUAGAUACCCCGGUAGUC